rnacentral:rRNA from 1 species
CGGAGGGUGCUAGCGUUGUUCGGAAUCACUGGGCGUAAAGCGCGUGUAGGCGGCCCACUAAGUCUGAUGUGAAAGCCCGGGGCUCACCCCCGGAAGUGCAUUGGAAACUGGUGGACUCGAGUCCCGGAGAGGAGAGUGGAAUUCCUGGUGUAGCGGUGAAAUGCGUAGAUAUCAGGAGGAACACCGGUGGCGAAGGCGGCUCUCUGGACGGUGACUGACGCUGAGGCGCGAAAGCGUGGGGAGCAAACAGGAUUAGAUACCCUGGUAGUCCACGCCGUAAACGAUGAGCACUAGGUGUCGCGGGUAUUGACCCCUGCGGUGCCGACGCUAACGCAUUAAGUGCUCCGCCUGGGGACCACGGCCGCAAGGUUA